AGCAUCGACAGUGUUGUUUACCCUUUUGAUCCAAUUAUACAUCUAUUCCUUGCAGGUUAACUUGUUCCAGUUCAUGGAAGUACCUGCUGAGACACCUAUAGUGCGGAUACAAAAAUACAUCUAUUCUAUACAUGCUACUGAAAGUUUUCUUGUACUAAGAUUUACCUUGUUGCUGAACUUUCAUAGGAAGGAAAAGCUCAAGGGAGCAAACAGAACAAGGAGGAUGGAGCUAGAAAGGGAAAGUUAUCGCCAUAAGCUUCCUAGACUUUCUCAUUGUUUCAUGUUCUUCCUAGACGAAUGGCUAGCUGAUCAUGCUCGGAACGGCGGCGAGAAAAAGGGGAUUGAUGGGAAGUGUGCUCCAACGAAGACGUACCUGGAACGGGGGCGAGAAAAAGCAGAGACACAGUUCAUGUUUUUUCUUCGGUGAUUGAUCAGACGGUUGGUACAAGGAUGAGGAUCGUGCAAUGAAGGAAGGUGUCUUCCUGUAGCGUAUCCUGAUUGAUUUGAUUGACUUAUCAUAUUGUACGUGAAGGAGAACUGUUACCAUAUUUUGAUGUGCCUACUUAUUUUGGCCGUGACAUAUUUUGAUGUGCCUA